UCCCCGGUAGCUCAGUCGGUAGAGCGCCUGACUGUUAAUCAGGAAGUCGCUGGUUCGAGCCCAGCCCGGGGAGCCA
rnacentral:tRNA from 1 species